rnacentral:lncRNA from 1 species
GGGAACCAAACGGGCAUCAUUUCCAAAUUAGAGAUCCCGCCUUUGGGAAAAAUCAAUGAAGACCUUUAACUAGUCCCAGCUAGAUUCUCAAAGAGUGGCUUGGCUUACCUUAGAUCUAGCUAUGCUUGCUUGCUAACCUGUGCCACCUAUUCUAUUCUUGUACCACGAUGAGAGCAAUAUAGGCCAGCUGGAAAUGGAACAAAUGCUGUUGCUG